rnacentral:lncRNA from 1 species
CAGAAGUGAAUUCUUUUCAAUUUGCAAUCUUCAGGCUUGUAAAUUGAAAAAUUCACAUCUGCCCUUUCUAGCUUAAGAAAGAUUGACAGCAAAAGGUCACAUUUUCAAAAUGAAUAUGUUAUGAAUUACCCCUUAUGUUGUAUCAUUAUUUUCAGAUUUUAUAUUGGCCCGCUGCAAUAGUUUUUGAGCACCCAGUAAUCUUUAACAUAGUUAUACUUGCAACACCUAUAUGACAGAGGGAAGUCCUAUUAUCUUUCUGUUUGUAACCAGAAAACCCAAUUGCAACAAGUCUUGUUGACUUGUCUGUGGUUGCAUGAGAAGUCUGUGAUAAAAUCAGUUGUCAUGUUACUAUACAAGUUGCUCGACCCCUGGUUAUGUUGUAGUGUCUUCUGCAAGGUGGGACUCCAUCUCUGUUUCUAAGGAUGAGGAUGCAGGUUUUAUCUCACUCUGUGUGCUUUCUGAUUUAUUGCUGUAAAAUUUCUGACAUAUUACCAUACAUUUGAAUGUUUUACAAGGUUUCUGACUUGAGGCACUGACGAACCAAGGAAACAGUCGACAAAGAUCAGCAGUCAGCUGGUGCAUGACAACAAACAAGAGCAGGAAUUCCAGAGAGCAGCAGGCUUGCCUCUAUUUAAGUGGAGUAAUGAGAGGACAGCAGAAGAGCCAGGAACAGGUAGUAAUGGUUGGUGUGUGCCCAGUUAGAUAAUGUUUUAUCUCAGAGAGGGCUGGAAUGCCACGAGACAUCGAGUGAGGACAUACACAAUACAGAUCACUGGCAGGUUGUAGAGGUAUUUGCUGUGAUAUCAAAGAUAGAUGAUAUCUUCUGCACUGGUGGUUGCAUUUUGAGAAUUUCUUUCAAAAACUGUUUAUAGGUACAUAUCCUAAGGAGAGUAUCUCUUUUGGAUCCAGAGUGUGUAAAGUAACUUAAACAUAUAAUACUGUGUAGUGCUAGCGCUUCCCUAAGAUGCUGAACUCUAAGUGUGAGUUUUAAUCCUGACAGUCUGAAAUAGAGUCUAAAUGGUUAAAACCGGAGUACCUGACUUGUAUUGACUGUGUCCUGCAUUAGAUCUCAUUUGACAGUCUCCAGCUGUGGGAACUAGGACUGCUGCUGUGAUCUCCCUGUUAAACAGGUCAUUUUGAGCCAUUCAUUAUAGCUCACCACUUCCUGCAAGUAUAAGGAGUUUUUCAGGUAUCAAGCAAUGUAUAUUCUGUAGAGCUACUGCAAUCCUUCAUUUGAGAGGGGCUUGUCACAUCAGCCUGGCCGUGAAAGGCCUCUCCUUAAAUGUUUUAUUUUAAAAUAAAGUGUAGCUCAAGGCCUGGUAUGAUAACUUC